ensembl:misc_RNA 7SK 7SK RNA
GGAUGUGAGGGCAAACUGGCUGCAACAUCUGUCACCCACUGGUCACCAGGGUUAAUUCUGAUGAUCUCGCUGGCUAGGCAGGUGUCCAUUUUCUCCAUCAUCC